rnacentral:rRNA from 1 species
GUCUUUUGAGUACCUUCGUUUCCUCGGCGGGUCCGCCCGCCGAUUGGACAACAUUCAAACCCUUUGCAGUUGCAAUCAGCGUCUGAAAAAACAUAAUAGUUACAACUUUCAACAACGGAUCUCUUGGUUCUGGCAUCGAUGAAGAACGCAGCGAAAUGCGAUAAGUAGUGUGAAUUGCAGAAUUCAGUGAAUCAUCGAAUCUUUGAACGCACAUUGCGCCCCUUGGUAUUCCAUGGGGCAUGCCUGUUCGAGCGUCAUUUGUACCUUCAAGCUCUGCUUGGUGUUGGGUGUUUGUCUCGCCUCUGCGUGUAGACUCGCCUUAAAACAAUUGGCAGCCGGCGUAUUGAUUUCGGAGCGCAGUACAUCUCGCGCUUUGCACUCAUAACGACGACGUCCAAAAGUACAUUUUUACACUCUUGACCUCGGAUCAGGUAGGGAUACCCGCUGAACUUAAGCAUAUCAAUAAGCGGAGGAGGAUCAUUACCUAUAGUUUGUAGACUUCGGUCUGCUACCUCUUACCCAUGUCUUUUGAGUACCUUCGUUUCCUCGGCGGGUCCGCCCGCCGAUUGGACAACAUUAAAACCCUUUGCAGUUCAUCCACGACUGAAAAAAACAUAAUAGUUACAACUUUUCACA